ACCGCGGCGACGCUUGGUUGGUUCCCCGGGAUCUCGUCACCCAAUGGGGGUGAGAACCGCCCGGUUGUCAUCAGUGUCCGGGCAGAAGGACCUGACCCGGGUUAGGAGCUGGAGAAGUGAAACUGGGGACCGGGAAUCCCCAGCCCUGGGCUUCCCCACCCAGACCUCACCCGCCUGGGACUAAGACUUUGCCUGAGCCCUGUGCUGAGGGAUGGAGCGCUGUGUGUCAUGGCGUCUCUGAGCCGCCUAAGGCCAACUGCUCCUCAGGUUAGUGAGGGUGAAACCUGAGAGCGUGAAGAUUCCAGGUAAAAUACACACAGCACUUAAAAUGGAUGUUCACGGAAACAGGUGCUGUCGGAGUCCUGGAAGGUGCGGGGCUGCUGUGGACACCCGCAUCGGAGGUGACUGGGGAUUUUACAGCUCUGAUUAAGCACUUUUGACACACUGUGUCCUGUGUGACUCCCCCUGCAGGAAGCAGGCCCUGCUCACCUCUGAUUUCACUUUCUACUUCAGGUAUGUGUGGCUGCGAUUUGAAGACAUCAAGUAAAAAUAUCCAGAGAAACAAAAAUUAAAUAAAUCUUAUUUUUCUCCACACUAUUGAACACGGAUGAAACCUCAAAAAGCCAACUGUUAUCAGAUCCAGGGUUCCACAAGUCUGUGAUCAUCAUCUCCCUCAUCUCAUCAGCUCAUAAAGAAUGAAGGUCAGAGAGAGAGAGAGAGAGAGAGAGAGAGAGAGAGAGAGAGAGAGAGAGUCACAGGUUAUGUAAUGUCUACCACAAGGUCACUAUGGCUGUGACAAGACACUGUGACCCCCAGAAACUUAUAAAAGGACUUGUUUCAUUUGGGUUUAAGCUUCAGAGGGUUUGAGUCCAUGAUGGCAGAGGAAGCUGUGGUGGCAGGAACAGGUGAGAGCUCACAUCUUGAUCCACAGGCAAGUGUCAGAGACACUGGGAAUAGUGGGGUCUCUAAAACCUCCAUGCCCAGCCCCAGUGACACACUUCCUCCAACAAAGCUACACCUGCUUGUCGGGGUCUGGUGCUAGCCCGGACCAUAAAUUAUUUCUCUUGACCAGACCCCAACAUAAACUCUCUCUGGGCUGGCGUGGAAGCACGGGAAUAAAGACACAACUCACAUGGCUUUAUUGGGAGGAUGAUUCUCAGUGGUACCUCGUGAAAUCCUGAGUUCACAUCCUGAAGAAUUUUUCUCGCUUUUUCUCCAGACAGCUUUUAUACCAACACAUUAACUGAGCGGGAAAUACACCAGCAUUCUGUCUCCUCAUUCAGGGAUGAAGCAGAUCCAGGCUGCAAAUCCUGGAACCAGGGAAUUUUCUAGAACUCUGAAGCAGCAAUUAAACAGCACAGGACAGACAUCACCAUUCCAGGAGGAGAAACGUGAGCACAGAGGAAACAUGGGACCAAAGCAAGACGAGAGUCCAGCUGGGCAACUCCACACUGCAUCUCCACGUCUGGUGUCAGAACGCUCUUCAGAUCUCCAACUCCUUUAGCUUUGAUGACUGUGACACACUUUUCCCUCAUGUGAUGAUUCCACGAAGGUUUAGCAUAUGACCUUGAGAGGUAUCUCACACUGUGCCCUCUCUCAUACAAUGGCCUCUCUGGUCCUCCAUGCAGGGAUGCCCUGACACACAGCAUCUUCAGCUGCUUUCCUUAGCUACAGAGAAAGUUUCCACAACCCAUGGACCACUUCCUCCACUUUGUGCUUAGUGGAGUGGAUGCUUAUUCUGGGUAUGGAUUCCUGUCCUGCACUUACUGCAUUUUCAAACCCACCAUCAAUGAACUUACAGCAUGCCUUACCCUCUCCCAUGGUGUUGCACACCAAGGAACUCACUUCACAGCCAGAGAAUCGGACACUAGGCCCACGAUCAUGGAAUCUAUAGUUUUACCCAGCUCCCCCCCCAUCCUGACAGAGCUGGCCUGAUAGAGAUGGAAUGGCCUUUAGGAGACACAGUUACUCCGGGCAGUGGUGGCACAUGCCUUUAAUCCCAGCACUCGGGAGGCAGA